rnacentral:lncRNA from 10 species
AGGGCCGGCUGGACGCCCCAGAGGCCGGACCUGGGCAACCCCAGCCUGGAGGUGCCGGGGCCGGAGCUCCCAGAGGGCUGGGUGCGAGGCCUAGGCGGGGUCAGGUUCGGGUUCCUAGGCCAUAGCGGAGCUGCAGCCCAGGCGGCCGGAGCGGAACCCAGCCCCGCUCCGAGUGCCACGUCUCCAGGAACCCCCUCCUUACUCUUGGACAACACUCCGCCCCCGCCCGGGCCUCCGUCCCCCAAACCGCCCUCAUUUGUGCAGCGCCAGAUCCUUCGGACACAUCCCUAGGUGUCUCCAUCCUCAUUCGGUCCAUCCAACUCCCAGACCUCACGUCAACCGGCUGCACCCCACUUUCCAGCCUGCGCCCCAGAUCUGCAGCCUUCGCCCCUAGAUACACCCGCCUGGUGAUGAGGCGCUCCUCGCGUUCCUUCCGGUAACCGCGUUGCGAAGACCACGCUGCCGGGUUGCAAACUUGGGGGGACUUCCUCCCUCCCCUCCCCCUGGGCGCCGUGCAACUGCCCUGGGACCGGGUUCUGGGAUGAGGGGGGCAGACCGGGCUCCCCAGCGGCCGGCGCAGCACGUAGCGCACGUGUAGGGUCCGCUCCCCACCCCCUCGCCGCCUCUGACAACUUUUCAGGGCUCCAGGUGUCCGUGAGCCUCCCUUCCGCCCUGGCCUCCGGUCUCUGCCUUGCUCGUGCUUCUACCACCACCCUUCCCCUCCCAACCCGGUGGAUCCUCUCGUCUCCCCCAGUCUCCAGUGCACCGGCUUUCCCUCGUCCUCUGCGCAGUCCAUCUCAGCUCAUCUCUCCAAUUCAAUGCCAUCAUCUCUCCUCACCAUCUCUCGGUGCCCUGGAAUGUUUGCUGUCAGAUGUCCCCUGUGAAACCCACAAACGCUUGCGAUUUGGCCUCCUUGUUUUAUUUUGUGUAGUCCUACAACGUCUUGUUACUACCCCCUAUUACAACACUUAUAACUCAGUA